CCCAACAACGCUUCCUUAUCAAGGCCAAAUGUUAUGUGACAUUGUAGUCUACGCCAUCUCGUGGCUAGUCAUGAAAUUGUAGGCCCUAGCCUGAAAAUAAUCUUGCCAGAGCCCGACUCCGCCCUGACACGUUGAGGCAUGGACCACUGAAGGUGUGCUUUGGUAUCUGGCACCAAGAUGUUAGCAGCAGAUCUUUUAAGUCCUGUAAGUUGCAAGAGCCGGCAUUAAAGUUCUUCAGCAAUUUGAGCUACAUCCAUUAAUGAGCCUUGGCCACCCAUGACUCUGUUGCCAGUCCACUGAUUUUCUUUCUUUGGACCACUUUUGAGGUACUGACAACUGCAGACUGGGAACACCCUACAAAAGCUGCAGUUUUGGAGAUGCUCUGACCCAGUUGUCUAGCCAUCCCUAGUCAAAGUCGCUCAAAUCCUUACGCUUUUGUUCCUAUACUUCUAACACAUCAACAUUGAGGACAAAAUGUUCACUUUGGGCCUAAUAUAUCCCAUUCACUGACAGGUGCCAUAAUAGUGAGAUAAUCAGUGUUAUUCACUUCACCUGUCAGU